rnacentral:rRNA from 1 species
AUUGAACGCUGGCGGAAUGCUUUACACAUGCAAGUCGAGCGGCAGCGCGGCCUUCGGGCUGGCGGCGAGCGGCGAACGGGUGAGCAAUGCAUCGGAACAUGCCCAGUCGUGGGGGAUAACACUUCGAAAGAAGUGCUAAUACCGCAUACGUCCUGAGGGGGAAAGCGGGGGUUCGCAAGACCUCGCGCGAUUGGAGUGGCCGAUGUCAGAUUAGCUAGUUGGUGGGGUAAAGGCCUACCAAGGCGACGAUCUGUAGCUGUUCUGAGAGGAUGAUCAGCCACACUGGAACUGAGACACGGCCCAGACUCCUACGGGAGGCAGCAGUAGGGAAUUUUGGACCAUGGGGGCAACCCUGAUCCAGCCAUUCCGCGUGAUUGAAGAAGGUCUUCGGGUUGUAAAGCUCUUUCGGCAGGAACGAAACGGUGGGCUCUAACAUAGUCAGCUACUGACGGUACCUGAAGAAGAAGCACCGGCUAACUACGUG